rnacentral:rRNA from 1 species
AUUGAACGCUGGCGGCAGGCCUAACACAUGCAAGUCGAACGGUAACAGGAAACCGCUUGCUGUUUCGCUGACGAGUGGCGGACGGGUGAGUCAUGUCUGGGAAACUGCCUGAUGGAGGGGGAUAACUACUGGAAACGGUAGCUAAUACCGCAUAACGUCGCAAGACCAAAGAGGGGGACCUUCGGGCCUCUUGCCCUCGGAUGUGCCCAGAUGGGAUUAGCUAGUAGGUGGGGUAACGGCUCACCUAGGCGACGAUCCCUAGCUGGUCUGAGAGGAUGACCAGCCACACUGGAACUGAGACACGGUCCAGACUCCUACGGGAGGCAGCAGUGGGGAAUAUUGCACAAUGGGCGCAAGCCUGAUGCAGCCAUGCCGCGUGUAUGAAGAAGGCCUUCGGGUUGUAAAGUACUUUCAGCGGGGAGGAAGGGAGGAAAGUUAAUACCUUUGCUCAUUGACGUUACCCGCAGAAGAAGCACCGGCUAACUCCGUG